GUGCGAACAGUCCCCCCAUUGCUCGCCUUGUAUCUCCAAUAGAAAAAAGAACGAACAAACGCGCAGCACAAUUGCCUCUUCUCAGAUUUCAAUUUAAAAAAACGUCUUUCGGUCUCCUUGUUCAAGAGGGCGAUUCACGUCAAUCCGGUGGUGAGAAAACAAAUAAUCGAUUGCGGGUCAACAUUGCAAUGAACAG
ensembl:ncRNA F35G2.11 ncRNA